AGAGUUUGAUCCUGGCUCAGGAUGAACGCUGGCGGCGUGCCUAAUACAUGCAAGUCGAGCGAACGGACGAGAAGCUUGCUUCUCUGAUGUUAGCGGCGGACGGGUGAGUAACACGUGGAUAACCUACCUAUAAGACUGGGAUAACUUCGGGAAACCGGAGCUAAUACCGGAUAAUAUUUUGAACCGCAUGGUUCAAAAGUGAAAGACGGUCUUGCUGUCACUUAUAGAUGGAUCCGCGCUGCAUUAGCUAGUUGGUAAGGUAACGGCUUACCAAGGCAACGAUGCAUAGCCGACCUGAGAGGGUGAUCGGCCACACUGGAACUGAGACACGGUCCAGACUCCUACGGGAGGCAGCAGUAGGGAAUCUUCCGCAAUGGGCGAAAGCCUGACGGAGCAACGCCGCGUGAGUGAUGAAGGUCUUCGGAUCGUAAAACUCUGUUAUUAGGGAAGAACAUAUGUGUAAGUAACUGUGCACAUCUUGACGGUACCUAAUCAGAAAGCCACGGCUAACUACGUGCCAGCAGCCGCGGUAAUACGUAGGUGGCAAGCGUUAUCCGGAAUUAUUGGGCGUAAAGCGCGCGUAGGCGGUUUUUUAAGUCUGAUGUGAAAGCCCACGGCUCAACCGUGGAGGGUCAUUGGAAACUGGAAAACUUGAGUGCAGAAGAGGAAAGUGGAAUUCCAUGUGUAGCGGUGAAAUGCGCAGAGAUAUGGAGGAACACCAGUGGCGAAGGCGACUUUCUGGUCUGUAACUGACGCUGAUGUGCGAAAGCGUGGGGAUCAAACAGGAUUAGAUACCCUGGUAGUCCACGCCGUAAACGAUGAGUGCUAAGUGUUAGGGGGUUUCCGCCCCUUAGUGCUGCAGCUAACGCAUUAAGCACUCCGCCUGGGGAGUACGACCGCAAGGUUGAAACUCAAAGGAAUUGACGGGGACCCGCACAAGCGGUGGAGCAUGUGGUUUAAUUCGAAGCAACGCGAAGAACCUUACCAAAUCUUGACAUCCUUUGACAACUCUAGAGAUAGAGCCUUCCCCUUCGGGGGACAAAGUGACAGGUGGUGCAUGGUUGUCGUCAGCUCGUGUCGUGAGAUGUUGGGUUAAGUCCCGCAACGAGCGCAACCCUUAAGCUUAGUUGCCAUCAUUAAGUUGGGCACUCUAAGUUGACUGCCGGUGACAAACCGGAGGAAGGUGGGGAUGACGUCAAAUCAUCAUGCCCCUUAUGAUUUGGGCUACACACGUGCUACAAUGGACAAUACAAAGGGCAGCGAAACCGCGAGGUCAAGCAAAUCCCAUAAAGUUGUUCUCAGUUCGGAUUGUAGUCUGCAACUCGACUACAUGAAGCUGGAAUCGCUAGUAAUCGUAGAUCAGCAUGCUACGGUGAAUACGUUCCCGGGUCUUGUACACACCGCCCGUCACACCACGAGAGUUUGUAACACCCGAAGCCGGUGGAGUAACCUUUUAGGAGCUAGCCGUCGAAGGUGGGACAAAUGAUUGGGGUGAAGUCGUAACAAGGUAGCCGUAUCGGAAGGUGCGGCGG
rnacentral:rRNA from 1 species